AAUGAACGCUGGCGGCAGGCCUAACACAUGCAAGUCGAACGGAUCCUUCGGGAUUAGUGGCGGACGGGUGAGUAACGCGUGGGAACAUACCCUUUUGUACGGAAUAGCCUCGGGAAACUGGUAGUAAUACCGUAUGUGGUCGAGAGACGAAAGAUUUAUCGCCAAAGGAUUGGCCCGCGUUGGAAUAGGUAGUUGGUGGGGUAAUGGCCUACCAAGCCGACGCUCCAUAGCUGGUUUUGGAGGAUGAUCAGCCACACUGGGACUGAGACACGGCCCAGACUCCUACGGGAGGCAGCAGUGGGGAAUCUUAGACAAUGGGGGAAACCCUGAUCUAGCCAUGCCGCGUGAUCGAUGAAGGCCUUAGGGUUGUAAAGAUCUUUCAGGUGGAAGAUAAUGACUGUACCACCAGAAGAAGCCCCGGCUAACUCCGUGCCAGCCGCCGCUGUAA
rnacentral:rRNA from 1 species